rnacentral:tRNA from 1 species
UCCCCUGUAGCUCAGUCGGUAGAGCAUCUGACUGUUAAUCAGAGUGUCACUGGUUCGAGUCCAGUCGGGGGAG